CGCAGCGUGCGUAAGGAAAGGAAGGGAGGGUGUGGGCGAAAUCGGUCUUGGGAUCCCGGAGAAGACGGUGGGCGUGGCUUGAGGAAGGGCGUUUGUGAUUGGUGGGUUCUGCCGCGGCCGGGAAGUUCGAACAGAAGUCUGGGGAAGAGCCGGCGAAGAGCAAAGAGAUAACACAGUACUCCCAGCUAUAGCAAGCGGCAGUUAUGGAGCAUGCGCAGCAGCAGGGGCGGCCGCAGGUCGCCGUUCAAUAAUACUCAAGGGAUUUGUAUAGCCCUGUAGGAGACACCUCCAGAGAAAGUAACAGUUCUCAACUGAUCAGCUGAGAAGCUUCAGGGGCUGGAUCCUGACAUGAACCAGACACCUCCAGAAUUCUAUCCCAAGCAAAAGAUUACUUCAAGGCCAGAACUCACUCCCUGCUGGAGACUGACUACAAGAUCCACUGAGAUUGAUUUGUAACCUGAUUGGGCCCACAGUGAUGCUAGCCCCUUCACCAGAUGGAACAAUAAUUCCAGACAAGUUAUCAGAGCAGGUCACACCACUUGACACCUUCUCGCCCCCUUGCCUCUCCUGCAUUCCAAACCCCUCUCUUUAAAAUCCCCAUGUUCCCUCCGUAAACUGGACAGUGCCAAUUGUUGGAAAGAAUUCUGGCACUCUUUUCCUUCUUAGCAUGGAUAAAAAGAUUCACCCUCUUUUUAUCACACCUCACUCUUGUUAUUUUGGCUUCUUUCUACAAGUGGUGAGCAACCGGGCCCCCUUUGCUGGUUAUAGUAUGAACUAUUUUACUUUUUUUAAAUCUACAAUAAAAUAAAAUACAUUCAUUAGA